AGGGAGGGCGGGGGGAACUCAAGGCCUGCUUGAUACGUCCGCCAUUUUGGGCGCUUUGCUGAUGGUGUCGGUGAGCGCGUUUCCCGCCUGAGCGCAACUAGCGGCGGGUCGUGGGCACCUCCAGGAGAGCUUGUUUCAUAUCCAUAUCCCACUUUAUUCCUGCUAAUCUGCUAAUGUGGUAAAUUGGAGGAAAACUGUUACCAGGAUAACCUGUAAUGGGCAAGGAGCCACCAAGAAGAAAACAUUUCUUUUAAUUUUUAAACUUGUUUUGAAAGACCAGCAUGUUUUGGAAAUUUGAUCUUCAUUCAUCAUCCCACAUAGACACACUUCUAGAAAGAGAAGAUGUAACACUGAAGGAGUUAAUGGAUGAGGAAGAUGUUUUACAGGAAUGUAAAGCCCAGAACCGCAAACUUAUAGAGUUUCUGUUAAAAGCAGAAUGUCUCGAAGAUUUAGUCUCAUUCAUUAUAGAAGAACCACCUCAAGACAUGGAUGAAAAGAUCAGAUACAAGUAUCCAAAUAUAUCUUGUGAGUUGCUCACUUCUGAUGUCUCCCAGAUGAAUGAUAGACUGGGAGAAGAUGAAUCCUUGCUAAUGAAAUUAUAUAGCUUCCUCCUAAACGAUUCCCCUUUGAACCCACUACUUGCCAGUUUCUUCAGCAAGGUGCUAAGUAUUCUUAUCAGCAGAAAACCAGAACAGAUUGUGGAUUUCUUAAAGAAGAAGCAUGAUUUUGUAGACCUUAUUAUAAAGCACAUAGGAACUUCUGCUAUCAUGGAUUUGUUGCUCAGGCUCCUGACAUGUAUUGAACCUCCACAGCCCAGGCAAGAUGUACUGAAUUGGUUAAAUGAGGAGAAAAUUAUCCAGAGGCUUGUGGAAAUAGUUCAUCCAUCGCAAGAAGAAGAUCGACAUUCAAAUGCAUCACAAUCACUUUGUGAAAUUGUUCGCCUGAGCAGAGACCAGAUGUUACAAAUUCAGAACAGUACAGAGCCCGACCCCCUGCUUGCCACUCUAGAAAAGCAAGAAAUUAUAGAGCAGCUUCUAUCAAAUAUUUUCCACAAGGAGAAAAAUGAAUCAGCCAUAGUCAGUGCAAUCCAGAUAUUGCUGACUUUGCUUGAGACACGGCGACCAACAUUCGAAGGCCAUAUAGAAAUCUGCCCACCAGGCAUGAGCCAUUCAGCUUGUUCGGUAAACAAGAGUGUUCUAGAAGCCAUCAGAGGAAGACUUGGAUCUUUUCAUGAACUCCUGCUGGAGCCACCCAAGAAAAGUGUGAUGAAGACCACAUGGGGUGUGCUGGAUCCUCCUGUGGGGAAUACCCGGUUGAAUGUCAUUAGAUUGAUAUCCAGCCUGCUUCAAACCAAUACCAGCAGUAUAAAUGGGGACCUUAUGGAGCUGAAUAGCAUUGGAGUCAUAUUGAACAUGUUCUUCAAAUAUACAUGGAAUAACUUUUUGCAUACACAAGUGGAAAUUUGUAUUGCACUGAUUCUUGCAAGUCCAUUUGAAAACACAGAAAAUGCCACAAUUACUGAUCAAGACUCCACUGGUGAUAAUUUGUUAUUAAAACAUCUUUUCCAAAAAUGUCAAUUAAUAGAACGAAUACUUGAAGCCUGGGAAAUGAAUGAGAAGAAACAGGCUGAGGGAGGAAGAAGGCAUGGUUACAUGGGACACCUGACGAGGAUAGCUAACUGUAUCGUGCAUAGCACUGAUAAGGGCCCCAACAGUGCAUUAGUGCAGCAGCUUAUCAAAGAUCUUCCCGACGAAGUCAGGGAACGAUGGGAGACAUUCUGCACAAGCUCCUUAGGAGAAACUAACAAGAGGAACACGGUAGAUCUAUUCGGCUUCAACGAUGAGAAGUUUGCAGAUCAAGAUGACAUUGGCAAUGUUUCUUUUGAUCGAGUAUCAGACAUCAACUUUACUCUCAAUACAAAUGAAAGUGGAAAUAUUGCCUUGUUUGAAGCAUGUUGUAAGGAAAGAAUACAACAGUUUGAUGAUGGUGGCUCUGAUGAGGAAGAUAUAUGGGAGGAAAAGCACAUUGCAUUCACACCAGAAUCCCAAAGACGAUCCAGCUCGGGGAGUACAGACAGUGAGGAAAGUACAGACUCUGAAGAAGAAGAUGGAGCAAAGCAAGACUUGUUUGAAUCCAGCAGUGCUAACAUGGAGGAUAAAAUGGAGGUGGAUCUGAGUGAACCACCCAACUGGUCAGCUAACUUUGAUGUCCCAAUGGAAACUACCCACGGUGCUCCACUGGACUCUGUGGGAUCUGACGUCUGGAGCACAGAGGAGCCAAUGCCAACGAAAGAGACAGGCUGGGCUUCUUUUUCAGAGUUCACGUCUUCCCUGAGCACAAAAGAUUCUUUAAGGAGUAAUUCUCCAGUGGAAAUGGAAACCAGCACUGAACCUAUGGACCCUCUGACUCCCAGUGUGGCUGCUCUGGCAGCGCAGCCAGAAGUGCCAGGCAGUGUGGCCAUGGAAGCCAGCUCUGACGGAGAGGAGGAUGCAGAAAGUACAGACAAGGUAACUGAGACAGUGAUGAAUGGCGGCAUGAAGGAAACGCUCAGCCUCACUGUAGAUGCCAAGACAGAGACUGCGGUCUUCAAAAGGUUCUUUGACACCUUCACCGAGUCUGCAGUUUUGCUUACGUGCAGUCGUGGACAUAUUAUUCCCCCAAAUUCCUCAUUUCUAGGAGUAUUCUGAAACUCUUGUACAUUUCUUUUUCUGUUUUGCACACUGGGCUUCAGAGUGUUGAAAUCCUAUCGUGAGGAAGGGAAACUGUCUACCUCUCAAGAUGCUGCUUGUAAAGACGCGGAGGAGAGCCCCGAGACUGCAGAGGCAAAGUGUGCCGCGCCCCGACCUCCCAGCAGUAGUCCCGAGCAGAGGACUGGCCAGCCAAGCGCACUGGGUGACACUUCAGUGAAUGGCCCCGUAUGACGGGUGACGUCUGCUGCUGCUGACUGAGGACUGCAGACCGCCACCACUCAGGGGCUCUGGAGGGGUCAGCUGGAGCCCACCAAGCUGUCACUGCUGCACUCACUCUGCAAGGGAUCAGGACCAGCAACCUUUAUAUUCUAGAUUCUAAGACAUUGUACAGAGAAAUUCAGAAGUGUAAAAAUAUUGCACAUUGACAAAUACCAAGAAUUUUUGCGUAUGUUUAUAUUGUAUUGUUCUAAAUAAUGGGUAGCCUGUGAAAUAAGAUCUUGCCACCCAUGUAAUAAUAGUAGUAAUACUAUAGUUAAAAUGGCUGUAAGAAUAGUUUUAUAAAAGUGAAUACACAGAUCUAUUGUAUUUGAAACAUAACUAUUUGACAAUUAUUAGUGUGACCAAAGUAUUAGGCGGUUUUCAUACAUUUUUCACCUUGUACAAAAUUAUGAAUUCAUUUUUCUUCCAGGCUGGCAAGGAGUUGUAGAAUGAAAAUGCCCUCUAAGUGUUAUUUUGGUUGUUCUAACUUACAAAAGUGAUUUUGAAUAAGAAAUAUUUGGUGUUCUUUUUAUAACCAGUUUUCGAUUGGUAAUUGUUUUCUGUAUUGUUUAAAAUGGAUCAAAAAUGUAAGUCUAUUGGUAGAGAUUAAGUAUUUAUUGCUACAUCAUAGUUGAUAAAUUGAUGUUAUUGUAAAGCCAUAUGUUCUGUUCAAGUCUUGUUUGCUUGAAAUGAUUAUUCCUACAAGUGAAACACUAGACUAUUUGGAGUGUAUAUGGCUUGUGUUUGGGGUUGUUUUUUUUUUUUUUUCUUUUUUUUUUGGCUUUUGUUUUUGUUUUUUGUUUCGUUUGGUAGUUCAUCUGCCUUUUAACCCAUUCACCAAAAUUUACCUUGUUAACAAGCAUCACCAAUGAACAUUUCAGAGCAAUCUGCAUAUUUAACAGACCUAAAUCCUAUUAGGCAAGUCAGUUGAAAAUGCUCGUGCUGCUAAUGGAAUUAGAGUGCGUUCAUUUUACAGGCUAGUAUUUUAAAAGUAGAAAUGAAAAUCUGGCACCGAAGCAUGCUAAUUGUUUACUGUACCUUGUGAGGUUUUCACUCAUAAAUUUAAACCAGUGUAUUUUUUUAGAACUGGUUUGUGUAUAUAUAUAGUGAUUAUGGAUACUAAUUCAAUGUAAUUUAUAAUUUUCUAUGUCAAUAUAAAAAUACAUCAUAGCCUUCUCAAACAGCUGAAGCAAUAUAUUGUAUAUUGCCAUAUCGUCUGGUGAAAGGGUUAAAUUACUUCACCUCUUGCACUUUUAGAUGCAAAUCAGUUUUUCAUUUCUGUAAUAGAAAAUUAUUCACGUAUUUUUACAUCAUUUGUUUUUCCUGACCAGUAUUUAAAACCAAAAGGAUAUUCUGAAAAAUGGCCAACAAUUUUUUUAGAAAUAGCAUCCCAAGCAGCGUGCCUAAACAUUACAUUGCAUAUGGAAAUAAAAGAAUCAAACGUCUAAUGCCUUAUUUCUGAUUUCCUUUUUCAUUUGAAGUGGUGUAGAGACUCCAGCACUCACAGGACAGUGGAGUCAGCAGUAAGCCCUGGGACAGGUGGCAAGAGUGGCUCCCUUGACCUUUGCACGCCUCCUGAGGAACCCACUUUCCCGGGUGAGCUCCUCUCUGAAGAGACUGUCCUCGGGCCUCCUCUGGAAUCGGCACUGCCAGAGGACAGGGCUCCUCCUGCUUGCCUCAGGACUGCCUGGCUUGUGUGGCAUUGGACUUCGGGAAUUGCUGGUAGAUAACAUGCUCUGGUCUCACCUGGUGGCAAGCUUUGCCAGCCCUGGCCAGGGUUUGGCUCCAGUGGUGGCACAUAUGGCCUCCGUGGUAUGGACCUGGUGGCUUCUGCAUCCCACCGUGGCCUCCGUGGUAUGGACCAGGUGGCUUCUCCAUCCCACCGUGGCCUCCGUGGUAUGGACCAGGUGGCUUCUCCAUCCCACCGUGGCCUCCGUGGUAUGGACCAGGUGGCUUCUCCAUCCCACCGUGGCCUCCGCGGUAUGGACCAGGUGGCUUCUCCAUCCCACCCAAGGUAACAGUGUCUCGCUUCACCCACGGGCUGCUAGUGAGGGAGCCCCUGGGACUUUUCUUUGGGGCAGCAUUUUGUUUUGUCUUUCGUGGCAGGGAAAGGAUGUGAUGAUGGGGAGGACAGUUCUUUUGGAGGUUGGAGGGGCCAAGCCAAGGACAGGAGCGAGCGUGCCCUCAUUUUGUUUCUACUUUAAUUUCUGUGUGUCGGCCAUACUGAAUUAUGAGACUAACAGAUGUCUACAAUACAGUACCUGUAUUCAAAAUAACAAAAAUAAAGCCUGAUUCUUUGUUUCUAGAAA